rnacentral:rRNA from 1 species
GAUGAACGAGGGAGGAGGGAAGAAUACAUGCAAGUCGAACGCUGGAGAUCUAGCUUGCUAGAUCGAAGGAGUGGCGAACGGGUGAGUAAUACAUAAGCAACCUACCCACGAAGACUGGGAUAAUCUCUGGAAACGGGGACUAAUACCGGAUAGGUAAUCGGAAGGCAUCUUCUGGUUAUUAAAGGUUAAAAACACUGGUGGAUGGGCUUAUGGCGCAUUAGUUAGUUGGUGAGGUAACGGCCCACCAAGACGAUGAUGCGUAGCCGGCCUGAGAGGGUGAACGGCCACAUUGGGACUGAGACACGGCCCAGACUCCUACGGGAGGCAGCAGUAGGGAAUUUUCGGCAAUGGGGGCAACCCUGACCGAGCAACGCCGCGUGAGUGAAGACGGCCUUCGGGUUGUAAAGCUCUGUUGUAAGGGAAGAACGGUAGAUAGAGAAUAUCUAAGUGACGGUACCUUACCAGAAAGCCACGGCUAACUACGUU